AACGAACGCUGGCGGCAUGCCUAACACAUGCAAGUCGAACGAUGCCUUCGGGCAUAGUGGCGCACGGGUGCGUAACGCGUGGGAAUCUGCCUUUCGGUUCGGAAUAACUCAGGGAAACUUGAGCUAAUACCGGAUAACGUCGCAAGACCAAAGAUUUAUCACCGAAAGAUGAGCCCGCGUAGGUUUAGCUAGUUGGUGAGGUAAAGGCUCACCAAGGCGACGAUCCUUAGCUGGUCUGAGAGGAUGAUCAGCCACACUGGGACUGAGACACGGCCCAGACUCCUACGGGAGGCAGCAGUGGGGAAUAUUGGACAAUGGGCGAAAGCCUGAUCCAGCAAUGCCGCGUGAGUGAUGAAGGCCUUAGGGUUGUAAAGCUCUUUUACCCGGGAAGAUAAUGACGGUACCGGGAGAAUAAGCCCCGGCUAACUCCGUG
rnacentral:rRNA from 1 species